GGUUAAGCGACUAAGCGUACACGGUGGAUGCCCUGGCAGUCAGAGGCGAUGAAGGGCGUGCUAAUCUGCGAUAAGCGCCGGUAAGGUGAUAUGAACCGUUAUAACCGGCGAUACCCGAAUGGGGAAACCCAGUGUGAUUCGUCACACUAUCAUUAACUGAAUCCAUAGGUUAAUGAGGCGAACCGGGGGAACUGAAACAUCUAAGUACCCCGAGGAAAAGAAAUCAACCGAGAUUCCCCCAGUAGCGGCGAGCGAACGGGGAGGAGCCCAGAGCCUGAAUCAGCAUGUGUGUUAGUGGAAGCGUCUGGAAAGGCGCGCGAUACAGGGUGACAGCCCCGUACACAAAAGCGCAUGUGCUGUGAGCUCGAUGAGUAGGGCGGGACACGUGGUAUCCUGUCUGAAUAUGGGGAAAUUAUCCUCCAAGGCUAAAUACUCCUGACUGACCGAUAGUGAACCAGUACCGUGAGGGAAAGGCGAAAAGAACCCCGGCGAGGGGAGUGAAAAAGAACCUGAAACCGUGUACGUAGAAGCAGUGGGAGCCCCACCACCAAAGCAUUCUCUGGUGUUGAAGGCCCUGCAAAGCAGCAUCGCGGUGGCGGAGCGUCGUUUGCGACGCCCAACACACAAAACAAGCGGUGAGUGCUUUGGGGUGGGGUGACUGCGUACCUUUUGUAUAAUGGGUCAGCGACUUAUAUUCUGUAGCAAGGUUAACCGAAUAGGGGAGCCGGAGGGAAACCGAGUCUUAAUUGGGCGUUAAGUUGCAGGGUAUAGACCCGAAACCCGGUGAUCUAGCCAUGGGCAGGUUGAAGGUUGGGUAACACUAACUGGAGGACCGAACCGACUAAUGUUGAAAAAUUAGCGGAUGACCUGUGGCUGGGGGUGAAAGGCCAAUCAAACCGGGAGAUAGCUGGUUCUCCCCGAAAGCUAUUUAGGUAGCGCCUCGUGAAUUCAUCUCCGGGGGUAGAGCACUGUUUCGGCUAGGGGGCCAUCCCGGCUUACCAACCCGAUGCAAACUGCGAAUACCGGAGAAUGUUAUCACGGGAGACACACGGCGGGUGCUAACGUCCGUCGUGAAGAGGGAAACAACCCAGACCGCCAGCUAAGGUCCCAAAGUCAUGGUUAAGUGGGAAACGAUGUGGGAAGGCCCAGACAGCCAGGAUGUUGGCUUAGAAGCAGCCAUCAUUUAAAGAAAGCGUAAUAGCUCACUGGUCGAGUCGGCCUGCGCGGAAGAUGUAACGGGGCUAAACCAUGCACCGAAGCUGCGGCAGCGAACGUAUCACUUAAAGCGAUUCAGCGGGUUACGAUUGACGGAGCGAAGCGACGUCAAAGCGUAUACAAAGUCGAGUCGGUUUAAGGAUACGUUCGUUGGGUAGGGGAGCGUUCUGUAAGCCUGCGAAGGUGGCCUGUGAGGGUUGCUGGAGGUAUCAGAAGUGCGAAUGCUGACAUAAGUAACGAUAAAGCGGGUGAAAAGCCCGCUCGCCGGAAGACCAAGGGUUCCUGUCCAACGUUAAUCGGGGCAGGGUGAGUCGACCCCUAAGGCGAGGCCGAAAGGCGUAGUCGAUGGGAAACGGGUUAAUAUUCCCGUACUUGGUGUUACUGCGAAGGGGGGACGGAGAAGGCUAUGUUGGCCGGGCGACGGUUGUCCCGGUUUAAGCGUGUAGGUGUGUGUUCCAGGUAAAUCCGGUUCACUUUAACACUGAGGCGUGACGACGAGGCACUACGGUGCUGAAGCAACAAAUGCCCUGCUUCCAGGAAAAGCCUCUAAGCAUCAGGUAACAUCAAAUCGUACCCCAAACCGACACAGGUGGUCAGGUAGAGAAUACCAAGGCGCUUGAGAGAACUCGGGUGAAGGAACUAGGCAAAAUGGUGCCGUAACUUCGGGAGAAGGCACGCUGACACGUAGGUGAAGUGAUUUACUCACGGAGCUGAAGUCAGUCGAAGAUACCAGCUGGCUGCAACUGUUUAUUAAAAACACAGCACUGUGCAAACACGAAAGUGGACGUAUACGGUGUGACGCCUGCCCGGUGCCGGAAGGUUAAUUGAUGGGGUCAGCGCAAGCGAAGCUCCUGAUCGAAGCCCCGGUAAACGGCGGCCGUAACUAUAACGGUCCUAAGGUAGCGAAAUUCCUUGUCGGGUAAGUUCCGACCUGCACGAAUGGCGUAAUGAUGGCCAGGCUGUCUCCACCCGAGACUCAGUGAAAUUGAACUCGCUGUGAAGAUGCAGUGUACCCGCGGCAAGACGGAAAGACCCCGUGAACCUUUACUAUAGCUUGACACUGAACAUUGAGCCUUGAUGUGUAGGAUAGGUGGGAGGCUUUGAAGUGUGGACGCCAGUCUGCAUGGAGCCGACCUUGAAAUACCACCCUUUAAUGUUUGAUGUUCUAACGUGGACCCGUGAUCCGGGUUGCGGACAGUGUCUGGUGGGUAGUUUGACUGGGGCGGUCUCCUCCUAAAGAGUAACGGAGGAGCACGAAGGUUGGCUAAUCCUGGUCGGACAUCAGGAGGUUAGUGCAAUGGCAUAAGCCAGCUUGACUGCGAGCGUGACGGCGCGAGCAGGUGCGAAAGCAGGUCAUAGUGAUCCGGUGGUUCUGAAUGGAAGGGCCAUCGCUCAACGGAUAAAAGGUACUCCGGGGAUAACAGGCUGAUACCGCCCAAGAGUUCAUAUCGACGGCGGUGUUUGGCACCUCGAUGUCGGCUCAUCACAUCCUGGGGCUGAAGUAGGUCCCAAGGGUAUGGCUGUUCGCCAUUUAAAGUGGUACGCGAGCUGGGUUUAGAACGUCGUGAGACAGUUCGCAUUCCUAUCUGCCGUGGGCGCUGGAGAACUGAGGGGGGCUGCUCCUAGUACGAGAGGACCGGAGUGGACGCAUCACUGGUGUUCGGGUUGUCAUGCCAAUGGCACUGCCCGGUAGCUAAAUGCGGAAGAGAUAAGUGCUGAAAGCAUCUAAGCACGAAACUUGCCCCGAGAUGAGUUCUCCCUGAGACUUAGAGUCUCCUGAAGGAACGUUGAAGACGACGACGUUGAUAGGCCGGGUGUGUAAGCGCAGCGAUGCGUUGAGCUAACCGGUACUAAUGAACCGUGAGGCUUAACCUU
rnacentral:rRNA from 1 species